rnacentral:rRNA from 1 species
UACGUAGGUGGCAAGCGUUGUCCGGAUUUACUGGGCGUAAAGAGCGCGCAGGCGGUCGGAUAAGUCGAAUGUGAAAGCCCCCGGCUCAACUGGGGAGGGUCAUUCGAUACUGUUCGACUCGAAGGCAGGAGAGGGAAGUGGAAUUCCCGGUGUAGUGGUGAAAUGCGUAGAUAUCGGAAGGAACACCGGUGGCGAAAGCGGCGCGCUGGACCUCUUCUGACGCUGAGGCGCGAAAGCCAGGGGAGCAAACGGG